rnacentral:rRNA from 1 species
UACGUAGGGUGCAAGCGUUAAUCGGAAUUACUGGGCGUAAAGCGUGCGCAGGCGGCUUUGCAAGACAGAUGUGAAAUCCCCGGGCUCAACCUGGGAACUGCAUUUGUGACUGCAUGGCUAGAGUACGGUAGAGGGGGGAUGGAAUUCCGCGUGUAGCAGUGAAAUGCGUAGAGAUGUGGAGGAAUACCAAUGGCGAAGGCAGCCCCCUGGGUCAAUACUGACGCUCAUGCACGAAAGCGUGGGGAGCAAACAGG